UAAAUCUCUCAGUGUGACAAUGCUUUUGACUACUGGGGGAAAGGAACUAUGGUCACCGUCUCGUCAGCUCAACCAUCUGCGCCCCAGUCAGUCUUCGGUUUGUCUCAGUGCAGUUCUGGUUCUGAUGGGUCAAUCACCCUCGGCUGCUUGGCUAAAGGUUUCUCACCUGCAGACUCACUUAAUUUCAAAUGGAAGGAUCCUGCUGGUAAAGAUUUGAGCGAUUUUGUGCAGUACCCAGCAUUUGGGAAGGAAGGAGAUUAUACUAAAAUCAGCCAUAUACGAGUGAAAAAAAGCGAUUGGAUUGAUACAAAAAAUUACACAUGUGAAGCCUCCAAUUCUGUUGGAGCCCCAAAAACAGCUUCUCUAGCUCCACCAGCCCCACCGCCAGAUCUGCGUGCAACUGUGUUCUUAACAGCACCUACAAAAAUGGAAUUAGAAGGUGGAUCAGCAACCUUCAUGUGUUUAGCCCGGCGGUUUUCGCCUAAACAAUACGAGUUUAAGUGGUAUCAGAAUGAUCAGGAUGUAACGAAUGCGGUAGACAAUUUUUUCAAAGAUGAAAAGAACGGCUCAGUAACCGAAUACAGUGCCACAAGCAUUUUGAAAAUCAACGCAGAAACAUGGAAGCAGGCAGAGAGCAAAGUUAAAUGCGUGUUUGAGCACAAUAAGCGGAAAGAUAGCAGGGAGAUCCAAUACAAAGAUACUAUGCAAGACUGCAUUGACGACAAUGUUCAUAUUGACAUCAUCCCUCCCACCCCUGAAGACAUGCUGAAAAAUAGAAAGGGAAUUUUAAAGUGCAAAGCCUCUGGAAAUCCACAAUUCCAUUUCACCAAAAUAGAGAUAAGAGCAAAUGAUUUAGUCAUCGCAGAGAAAGAAGAACCUUUGACAAACCGAGAGGAACUUGAUGCUCCUAUAAACUAUCAAGAAUGGAGCAAUGGCACUGUGUUCAAAUGCAUAGCUGAAAACUCAGGAAAAACAUUGCCAGAGGAAAAAACUUUUGUCAGAGAAAAUGGUAAAAAGAGACCGUCAGUUUACGUGCUAGCACCACCAGAGAACAAAGCAAAUGAAGCGAUGACCCUGACAUGUUAUGUAAAGAAUUUCUUGCCCAAGGAGGUGUUUGUGACUUGGCUUGUUAAUGAUGAACCUGCGUAUGGGUACAAAAACAGCACUAGUGAGCCAGUUGAGAAUGAUGAUUCCUUCUCCAUGUAUAGUCAGAUCACAGUUGAAAAUUCAGAGUGGACGGGUGGUAAAGUGUACACGUGUGUCAUAUAUCACGAAAGCAUUGACGAAAAAUUGCUUGUGCUGACAAGAUCUAUUACUGAUAACAUGGAUAAGUCAAGUAUAAUUAAUCUAAGUAUGACCACCCCAGCACCCUGCAAGGCAUAGGUCGUUGUGUAUGUGGCGUCUUGCUGUCAUGCUUGUUAAAUGUUCAUGUUGUUUUUGAGUUGCAUGUCCAUUUUUGUAAGUGUGUUGUUUUUUAAUGUUUGUGGCUUUUUGCUUUAUGAAGUUGUUUUCAUGCACAUCGCAUUAGGAAAAGAUUAAUAAAAAUAGAAACAAAGCAUA